AGUGAACGCUGGCGGUAGGCCUAACACAUGCAAGUCGAACGGCGGCACAGUAAGAGCUUGCUCUUACGGGUGGCGAGUGGCGGACGGGUGAGGAAUACAUCGGCAUCUACUUUUUCGUGGGGGAUAACGUAGGGAAACUUACGCUAAUACCGCAUACGACCUACGGGUGAAAGCAGGGGAUCUUCGGACCUUGCGCGAUUGAAUGAGCCGAUGUCGGAUUAGCUAGUUGGCGGGGUAAAGGCCCACCAAGGCGACGAUCCGUAGCUGGUCUGAGAGGAUGAUCAGCCACACUGGAACUGAGACACGGUCCAGACUCCUACGGGAGGCAGCAGUGGGGAAUAUUGGACAAAGGGCGCAAGCCUGAUCCAGCCAUACCGCGUGGGUGAAGAAGGCCUUCGGGUUGUAAAGCCCUUUUGUUGGGAAAGAAAAGCAGCAGGUUAAUACCCCGCUGUUCUGACGGUACCCAAAGAAUAAGCACCGGCUAACUUCGUG
rnacentral:rRNA from 1 species